GACGAACGCUGGCGGCGUGCUUAACACAUGCAAGUCGAACGGAAAGGCCCUGCUUGCGGGGUGUGCGAGAGGCGAGCGCGGGUGUAACACGUGUGAGUACCCUGCCGCACACUGUGGGAUGCCUUCAGGAAAGUGGGUAUAAUAGCGGAUAAGAGAUCCUGAUGGAUGGGGGGGGAAGGAUAGUUUCGGCUGGUGGGGGUGGACGCCCGGCUUAUCGGCUUGUGGGGGGGGUAGUGGCUUACCAAGGCUUUGGCGGGUAGCCGGCCUGAGUGGGUGACCGGCCACAUUGGGACUGAGAUACGGCCCAGCCUCCUACGGGAGGCAGCGGUGGGGAUUAUUGCACAAUGGGCGGAAGCCUGAUGCAGCAACGCCGCGUGCGGGAUGACGGCCUUCGGUUUGUAAACCGCUUUCGCCUGUGACGAAGCGUUUGUGACGGUACCGGGUAAAGAAGCACCGGCUAACUACGUG
rnacentral:rRNA from 1 species